GAAACCUCAGAGACUCCUGUGGCUUGGCUUCAGCGAGUCUCCUUCUCGAGGUCUCUCUUUGAGGACUGAAAGAGCAUUCGGUUUCACGUACAGGACCGCCAGGAGGAACCUCUUUCCAGUUUUCUCCUUCCCUGUAGUGAUUUUUCUAGAAAACAGCCGUCCCUGUUUAGAAGCCAGCCGAUCGCCCAGUGCCAUCACCCUGCCUGCUGGCUGGGCAGGGUUACUCCUCAGGUCACCACCCCCGUCUCCAGCCUGCCUUGGGCUUGGGGAGUGAGGAGAAGGGCGAGGGACGACCCUGAACAUCCUCCAUCCAUCGCUCCGUCACCAGAGCAAGAUGGCUGGGCUCCUGAGGAUGUUCAGGAAGAA